GUGUGUUUGGCGUGCAGGUGGCACACCGGAGUGAGAGAGUCGAUUGAACUUCAGAAAAACACAGCCGAGAUGACUCACAGAGUGCAAAAAUGGCGAAAACUCAAAAGAAACCUAGAGCAACUUCUCAGACGUUCAGACAGUAGCGAUCAGGAUAGUGCUAGCGAGAAUCCAAGGCCUGCUAGUGUAUCUGGUGACGGCGACCGUGACAGUGUUAGUGCACCUGGGACACCAGACCGCGACAGUGUUAGUGCACCUGGGACACCAGACCGCAUCGACUUUGAGACUGAUUUUGACUGCACUGACUCUGAAUCGGAAUCAAUGAUUGCUGACCCUGAAGUGACGAGCAGCUUUGAGGAAGAACUAAGACAGUGGGCACUGGAACACAAAUUGACACAGAGCAAUCAAUGGGUUAUUGCCAAUAUUAAGGAAGCAAGGCCACCUAUUGCCAUUGGAUUGCCGAACACUCCUCGGUACACCACAGACUAGUUCGACAGAACCAAAAUGUGGAGGCCAGUAUAAGUAUUACGGACUGGAGAAGGGCAUCCGUAGUUGCCUGAGACAUCUGGAAGGGCAGGAUGUGCACCUCAGUGUAAACAUUGAUGGUAUACCACUAUUUAAAAGUAGUGGAGUGCAGUGCUGGCCGAUACUGGGGAAAUGUGGCAAAUUUGAUCCAUUCAUUAUUGCCAUUUUCAGUGGCACAAAGAAACCUAGCCCUCCUGAGGAGUAUCUCCGAGACUUCCUGACAGAGUAUGCUCACCUCAAACAAGAUGGUAUAACUUUUGAAGGCCACACUUACUCCGUCACCAUUGACUCUUUGAUCUGUGAUGCGCCAGCCAGGGCAUUUCUGAAAUGCAUCAAGGGUCACACUUCAUAUGAGAGCUGUGAAAGAUGCAUCACCAGGGGUAUCCGCGUUGAUGGAAGAAUAGUUUUCACUGGUGAUGAAAGCACUUCCCGUACAGAUGAUGGUUUCUCAAAAGGGGAAUAUUUUAAGAACCAUCAGCAAGGACGCAGCCCCUUCAUUACUGCCGGAGUGCCUUGCGUUACCUCUUUCGUCUUGGACUACAUGCACAUGGUCUGCUUGGGUGUGGUGAGACGGAUGUUGGUGUACUUGACACGGGGCCCGAAAAUCUGCCGGUUAUCAGCAAGACAAAAAUAAACAAUUUCUGAGAAACUGGUUGCUCUGAGGGGCAAGAUGCCCAGCAAUUUU